AUGUUCCACAAGAAUAUUGCACAGUCUGCCGCAUGCCCCCGCUGUAAAGACCCUCAUGAAGAUGCCCUGCACCUAAUUUCAAGCUGCUCUUAUGCUACCCAAGUUUGGUCCUCUCUAGGACUACAGGCUCCAACAUAUCUCGAUGAUCUACUUCAACACCCAACGCUCCAAGGCCUCAACCCCAACAUAUGGCCCUCUGUCGCUCUGUCUAUCUCCUGGAAACUUUGGGACUCAAGAAACGCCCUAGUCUUCAGAAAUGAGGAUCACUCUACCCGGACCACGAUUCGUAACAUCGUUGCUGAUUUCUCUCUAUGGGUUUUUAGAUUCAAAAACAAGGAAUACAAUUUAUUUGCUAAGCAAUGGCUUCAUUUCUUAUCCUCAGCUGUCCCCUAA
rnacentral:rRNA from 1 species